UGCAAUAAAUAUAUUUGGUCAGCAAACAUGAAAACAUGGAGGAUCUGAAUGAACUCAUUCAGUUCAAUGAAUCAGAAAAACUGAUUCCUCUGAGAAUCAACAGAUCAACUGAUCUCUGUGAGAGGAAGAAAUCUGUUAAAUGAAACAACAACUAGAGCAAACAUCUGGUUUAUAGCAACAGAUCUACUGAUUCUAGAUCUACAAACUUCUGGAAUAGAUUUUAUUGAACUGAAAUGAAUCAAACUGAUUCUAAUCAGAAUCCAGAUUCAGUUUUCAAUGAUCAGAGAAUUUCUAAAAAUUAGAUCAAACUCAGGUUUCAGUUUAAAAUGUUAAACAAACAUGUUAGAAAACAGGAACAAGCUGAUGGUGAGUUUAUGUCACAAGUUUGCUGUUCAUGAAUCUGAGAGCAAAAACAUCAGGAACUGAAACUGUAGAGCAGCAGAGUGUUGUCAGUCAUUCCUUCACAUUGCAACAUGAAUCACACUAUAACAAAACGGCUCUACAAACUCUGAGAAACAAUGAAAACAAUCCAACCAGAUAAGAUUCAAAUUUCAGUCACAACUUAAAGGUAAAUCAGCUGAUUUUCUGUCUCCUUUAGUUUUAAAAGUGGAGAUCGAGGAGCGGAUAGUGAGCAACCUGACGACGGCGCACAAUGAGUUUAUAACUCAGCAAGCCGCUGGACGGAAAUGACCCUGACCCAGUCUGCGGUUCGGGUUUAAUUCAUGAAGAGUUUCCUCUACGAACAAAUCAAGCUGAUUAUCGUUAACGUUGUUUGAAUGUUUAUUAAUGUCAUCAGAAUAAACGUGAUUUCAGGA